rnacentral:rRNA from 1 species
GAUGAACGCUGACAGAAUGCUUAACACAUGCAAGUCAACUUGAACUUCGGUUUGGGUGGCGGACGGGUGAGUAACGCGUAAAGAACUUGCCUCAGAUAGGGACAACAUUUGGAAACGAAUGCUAAUACCUGAUAUUAUGAUUAUAUGGCAUCGUAUAAUUAUGAAAGCUAUAUGCGCUGUGAGAGAGCUUUGCGUCCCAUUAGCUAGUUGGAGAGGUAACGGCUCACCAAGGCGAUGAUGGGUAGCCGGCCUGAGAGGGUGAUCGGCCACAAGGGGACUGAGACACGGCCCUUACUCCUACGGGAGGCAGCAGUGGGGAAUAUUGGACAAUGGACCAAGAGUCUGAUCCAGCAAUUCUGUGUGCACGAUGAAGUUUUUCGGAAUGUAAAGUGCUUUCAGUUGGGAAGAAAAAAAUGACGGUACCAACAGAAGAAGUGACGGCUAAAUACGUGCCAGCAGCCGCCGUAAGAC